GGGUAGAGCUCAAGUGGUAGAGCACAUGCUUAGCAUGCAUGAGGUCCUGGGUUCAAUACUCAGUAUCUCCU
rnacentral:tRNA from 1 species